GAUGAACGCUGGCGGCGUGCCUAAUACAUGCAAGUCGAGCGAACAGACGAGGAGCUUGCUCCUCUGACGUUAGCGGCGGACGGGUGAGUAACACGUGGAUAACCUACCUAUAAGUCUGGGAUAACUUCGGGAAACCGGAGCUAAUACCGGAUAAUAUAUUGAACCGCAUGGUUCAAUAGUGAAAGACGGUUUUGCUGUCACUUAUAGAUGGAUCCGCGCCGCAUUAGCUAGUUGGUAAGGUAACGGCUUACCAAGGCAACGAUGCGUAGCCGACCUGAGAGGGUGAUCGGCCACACUGGAACUGAGACACGGUCCAGACUCCUACGGGAGGCAGCAGUAGGGAAUCUUCCGCAAUGGGCGAAAGCUUGACGGAGCAACGCCGCGUGAGUGAUGAAGGUCUUCGGAUCGUAAAACUCUGUUAUUAGGGAAGAACAAAUGUGUAAGUAACUAUGCACGUCUUGACGGUACCUAAUCAGAAAGCCACGGCUAACUACGUG
rnacentral:rRNA from 1 species